CCUCCCUCCCAUUAAUACACUGGCCCCUCCCUAAUAGGAGGGAGGGGGCAGUGUAUUAAUGGGAGGGAGGAG